rnacentral:rRNA from 1 species
UACGUAGGGUGCGAGCGUUAAUCGGAAUUACUGGGCGUAAAGCGUGCGCAGGCGGUGAUGUAAGACAGAUGUGAAAUCCCCGGGCUCAACCUGGGAACUGCAUUUGUGACUGCAUCGCUGGAGUGCGGCAGAGGGGGAUGGAAUUCCGCGUGUAGAAGUGAAAUGCGUAGAUAUGCGGAGGAACACCGAUGGCGAAGGCAAUCCCCUGGGCCUGCACUGACGCUCAUGCACGAAAGCGUGGGGAGCAAACAGG